rnacentral:rRNA from 1 species
AACGAACGCUGGCGGCAUGCCUAACACAUGCAAGUCGAACGAGACCUGCGGGUCUAGUGGCGCACGGGUGCGUAACGCGUGGGAACCUGCCCCUAGGUUCGGAAUAACUCCCCGAAAGGGGGGCUAAUACCGGAUAAUGUCGUCGGACCAAAGAGUUAUCGCCUUUGGAUGGGCCCGCGUUGGAUUAGCUAGUUGGUAGGGUAAAAGCCUACCAAGGCGACGAGCCAUAGCUGGUCUGAGAGGAUGAUCAGCCACACUGGGACUGAGACACGGCCCAGACUCCUACGGGAGGCAGCAGUGGGGAAUAUUGGACAAUGGGCGAAAGCCUGAUCCAGCAAUGCCGCGUGAGUGAUGAAGGACUUAGGGUUGUAAAGCUCUUUUACCAGGGAUGAUAAUGACAGUACCGGGAGAAUAAGCUCCGGCUAACUACGUG